UGAGUUAUGAUAUUGAUCGAAUUGAAAUUGAUAAACCAGUUGGUGUCAAAGGCAACUGUAAUCAGUAGGUUUUUAAUUGGGAGCUACUUGCUAGGUUUCGGUCCAGUCAAGUUAAUGGCAUACCCUUCCGCUGAUCUCACUUACCUGGCCAUCUUGGUGAAUCUCUUUUGAUCAGAUCUCUGAUUGACUCUAAUUAACCCAUGCCUGUAAGAAAAUCAGUUGGACUGAUUUAGGUGCACUGACUUGAAUCUAUUUCCUAUGAUACCUGACUUAUGAAGUCAGUGGGAGCAUUUGGAUUGAGUCAGCUUUUUAUUAUAAACAUCCUCUAAAUUAUUAGGUCCAUAAAAUGAUAUGGUUAAUGGAGAUGACCACGUCAUAGCCUCCCAUUAGUUGUGUGAUAAUGAGUCCAAUGCGUCUAUAUAUAUUGGAGGCGCGUGCGCGCACUGGUACGUAUCGGCCAUUGGAAUUGUCAUACAAUAAUGAUGAGUCAGUUGCAACUAUUGGAAUGGGUGGUCCGGUUGGAUACCGACCAAAGUCG
rnacentral:lncRNA from 1 species